rnacentral:rRNA from 1 species
GAUGAACGCUGGCGGUCUGCUUAACACAUGCAAGUCGAACGGAAUCCUUCGGGAUUUAGUGGCGGACGGGUGAGUAACGCGUGAGAAUCUGCCUUCAGGUUCGGGACAACAGCUGGAAACGGCUGCUAAUACCGGAUGUGCCGAGAGGUGAAAGCUUUAGUGCCUGAAGAUGAGCUCGCGUCUGAUUAGCUAGUAGGAGUGGUAAUGGCACCCCUAGGCGACGAUCAGUAGCUGGUCUGAGAGGAUGAUCAGCCACACUGGGACUGAGACACGGCCCAGACGCCUGCGGGAGGCAGCAGUGGGGAAUGUUCCGCAAUGGGCGCAAGCCUGACGGAGCAAGACCGCGUGAGGGAAGAAGGUCUGUGGAUUGUAAACCUCUUUUGAUGGGGAAGAAGACAGUGACGGUACCCAUCGAAUCAGCCUCGGCUAACUCCGUGCCAGCCGCCGCCGUAA